CGGGGUGUAGCGCAGUGGUAGCGUGCCUGGCUUGGAACCAGGAAGUCGUGGGUUCGAUCCCCACCACCCCGA
rnacentral:tRNA from 1 species